rnacentral:rRNA from 1 species
CGUAGGGUGCGAGCGUUAAUCGGAAUUACUGGGCGUAAAGCGUGCGCAGGCGGUUUUGUAAGACAGAUGUGAAAUCCCCGGGCUCAACCUGGGACCUGCAUUUGUGACUGCAAGGCUAGAGUACGGUAGAGGGGGAUGGAAUUCCGCGUGUAGCAGCGGAAUGCGUAGAUAUGCGGAGGAACACCGAUGGCGAAGGCAAUCCCCUGGACCUGUACUGACGCUCAUGCACGAAAGCGUGGGGAGCAAACAGGAUUAGAUACCCUGGUAGUCCACGCCCUAAACGAUGUCAACUGGUUGUUGGGUCUUUACUGACUCAGUAACGAAGCUAACGCGUGAAGUUGACCGCCUGGGGAGUACGGCCGCAAGGUUG